UGGGUUAUAGUGCACCAGAGCUGUUGGUGUC
rnacentral:piRNA from 1 species